rnacentral:tRNA from 1 species
AUUAUUUUGGCAGAUUAGUGCGAUGAAUUUAGAAUUCUUUUAUAUAAAUUAAUUUUAUAAAUAAUA